GGGAUUUCCUAAAUUCCACUCUAAUAUAUAUGGGUUUGAUAGUUCACGGGAUUGUAGCCGUGUGUUGACAUUGAUAAUCAAGAGUAGGCGUUUACUACAUAUAUAUUAUCAAGAAAAAUUUUAUAGUGGCUCAAAAGUAUCAAAACGAUCAAACUGAAAUAAAAUUUUUUAUUUUCAGACGGAUAACUUUAGAUUUCCAUCACUCUUAGUAAUUUUACUCUUCUAAGCUAAUGUCACAGUUCAAUGAGUAUAAUGGAAAAAAAAACUAAAUACCUUUGAAGUAAGAAGUUUCCCGCCUGAAGUGCUUGAAUAUUGUGUAAAGCUGUCUGAUUGUUCAGGGUUAGCUGGAAAUCCUCGGGACAAGUCAUGUUCAUCAUUGUGCUCACUGGUAGUGUAUGCAUGUACAGUUCAGCAGAUGUACUCAUUGAACCCCGGCGGCGUAAAUUCGCGGACGGUUUAAUCUCUCCGUUGCCUACUAUAAAGCUUUGACUAUA